rnacentral:rRNA from 1 species
UACGAAGGGGGCUAGCGUUGCUCGGAAUCACUGGGCGUAAAGCGCACGUAGGCGGCUUUCUAAGUCAGGGGUGAAAUCCUGGAGCUCAACUCCAGAACUGCCUUUGAUACUGGAGAGCUUGAGUCCGGGAGAGGUGAGUGGAACUCCGAGUGUAGAGGUGAAAUUCGUAGAUAUUCGGAGGAACACCAGUGGCGAAGGCGGCGAUCUGGGAAGAUACUGACGCUGAGGUGCGAAAGCGUGGGGAGCAAACAGG